rnacentral:lncRNA from 1 species
GCGAAGCAAUCUCAACACCAACAACGACGCCUGAAAUCCAACCCACAACUCCCGCAAUACAAUCAACAAGAAAACGUGGACUACUGAACCCAACAGGUAUGAUAUGAACAUCAACAGAAAACACCAAAAUCUCUCGCCCCAUAAAAGGAAACAAUGAUCUCAUUUUGGAUGUGGCGACAUUAUAAAGUACAACCUUUUAUAAACGCAGCAACUGUUUUGUAAAUAGUUGUGGUAGACACAAGGCAACUUCUUUUGCGUAUCCACUGUAAAAUAGCAAUCUUAGGUGGUUGUCUUAGACAACGUCACUUUUUUGGGGUAUCCAAUGUAAAUAACCUGAUAAUCCUUGUAAUAUUUUCACUAUAUACCUUUACAACUGCUU